UGAAAGAGGUAGAUCGCAAAGGAGUGCUACCGGAGAACACAGAAUCAAGUGCCAAACCGAGACUUGCCACUUCGUCUGUGUUCUCAGGUCACCCCUUUGUGUCACCUGGUUCU
rnacentral:miRNA from 15 species